rnacentral:tRNA from 1 species
GCGGAAUUAGCAUAUCGGUAGUGCUCGGGCUUCCCAAGCCCGCAAGGCGGGUUCGACUCCCGUAUUCCGCUC